AGCGAACGCUGGCGGCAGGCCUAACACAUGCAAGUCGAACGAACCUUUCGGGGUUAGUGGCGGACGGGUGAGUAACACGUGGGAACGUGCCUUUAGGUUCGGAAUAACUCAGGGAAACUUGUGCUAAUACCGAAUGUGCCCUUCGGGGGAAAGAUUAAUCGCCUUUAGAGCGGCCCGCGUCUGAUUAGCUAGUUGGUUGAGGUAAUGGCUCACCAAGGCGACGAUCAGUAGCUGGUCUGAGAGGAUGAUCAGCCACAUUGGGACUGAGACACGGCCCAAACUCCUACGGGAGGCAGCAGUUGGGAAUCUUGCGCAAUGGGCGAAAGCCUGACGCAGCCAUGCCGCGUGAAUGAUGAAGGUCUUAGGAUUGUAAAAUUCUUUCACCGGGGACGAUAAUGACGGUACCCGGAGAAGAAGCCCCGGCUAACUUCGUG
rnacentral:rRNA from 1 species